GGAUAAGAAUCCAUAGAAGUGUGAAAAAGCAAAAGCUUUUGGAUUUACAGAAGUUGUUGACCCGAGUUCCUACCAAGAACCUAUUGCUCAGGUUAUUAAGCGCAUUACUGAUGGCGGAGCAGAUUUUUCUUUCGAAUGUGUAGGCGACACUGACAUGAUAACCACUGCAUUGCAGUCCUGUUGUAAUGUAAUACUCA